rnacentral:rRNA from 1 species
GACGAACGCUGGCGGCGUGCUUAACACAUGCAAGUCGAACGGAAAGGCCCUGCUUUUGUGGGGUGCCCGAGUGGCGAACGGGUGAGUAACACGUGAGUAACCUGCCCUUGACUUUGGGAUAACUUCAGGAAACUGGGGCUAAUACCGGAUAGGAGCUCCUGCUGCAUGGUGGGGGUUGGAAAGUUUCGGCGGUUGGGGAUGGACUCGCGGCUUAUCAGCUUGUUGGUGGGGUAGUGGCUUACCAAGGCUUUGACGGGUAGCCGGCCUGAGAGGGUGACCGGCCACAUUGGGACUGAGAUACGGCCCAGACUCCUAUGGGAGGCAGCAGUGGGGAAUAUCGCACAAUGGGCGGAAGCCUGAUGCAGCAACGCCGCGUGCGGGAUGACGGCCUUCGGGUUGUAAACCGCUUUCGCCUGUGACGAAGCGUGAGUGACGGUAAUGGGUAAAGAAGCACCGGCUAACUACGUG